GUGGGUGUUGAUGGGACCCAAGCAUUUAUUGAUGAGAUCUGCAAGCUUGCCGAGUCUAACGGGUUACCAUCUGAGAGCUUUAGAUCUUCCCUCUCAGAAUUUUCUGCUGAUGAAGUGAGAAGCCAUUUGAGUGAGGCAGAGAAGUUUUUGUCUACAGCCCUUGGGUCUGAAUCUGGUGUCAAUGCUAUCUUUACUAAUGGAAGGGUUACUUGUCCUAUUGACGAGGGCACAUUUUUGAGUGUUGAUCUGCAUCUUCUUGAAUCGAUAGAGCUUAAAAAGAGGACAAAGCAUAUUG